ACGCACGCUGGCGGCGUGCUUAACACAUGCAAGUCGAACGGAAAGGCCCUGCUUUUGUGGGGUGCUCGAGUGGCGAACGGGUGAGUAACACGUGAGUAACCUGCCCUUGACUUUGGGAUAACUUCAGGAAACUGGGGCUAAUACCGGAUAGGAGCUCCUGCUGCAUGGUGGGGGUUGGAAAGUUUCGGCGGUUGGGGAUGGACUCGCGGCUUAUCAGUUGGUGGGGUAGUGGCUUACCAAGGCUUUGACGGGUAGCCGGCCUGAGAGGGUGACCGGCCACAUUGGGACUGAGAUACGGCCCAGACUCCUACGGGAGGCAGCAGUGGGGAAUAUUGUACAAUGGGCGGAAGCCUGAUGCAGCAACGCCGCGUGCGGGAUGACGGCCUUCGGGUUGUAAACCGCUUUCGCCUGUGACGAAGCGUGAGUGACGGUAAUGGGUAAAGAAGCACCGGCUAACUACGUG
rnacentral:rRNA from 1 species